rnacentral:snRNA from 1 species
GCUUUUGCGCAGUGGCAGUAUCAUAACCAAUGAAUUUAAUCUGAGGUGUGAUAUUGCUAGUUGAAAACCGCUCCUCUCCCCCUUCCUGGUGUAGAUGGUAACAGUACUACUGUAGACAGCAGAAACUGUUACCGUCUCCCCUCUUUUUGUUACACUCAUCAGU